rnacentral:rRNA from 1 species
GACGAACGCUGGCGGCGUGCUUAACACAUGCAAGUCGAACGGAAAGGCCUGCUUUCCCUUGUGGAUUGCGGGUACUCGAGUGGCGAACGGGUGAGUAACACGUGAGUGAUCUGCCCCCAACUUGGGUAUAAGCCUGGGAAACUGGGUCUAAUUCCCGAUAGGACUGCAGGGUGGUGCCUGUGGUGGAAAACGAUUUUCUAGUGGUUGGGGAUGAGCUCGCGGCCUAUCAGCUUGUUGGUGGGGUAAUGGCCUACCAAGGCGGCGACGGGUAGCCGGCCUGAGAGGGUGGACGGCCACAGUGGGACUGGGAGACGGCCCAGACUCCUACGGGAGGCAGCAGUGGGGAAUAUUGCACAAUGGGCGGAAGCCUGAUGCAGCGACGCCGCGUGGGGGAUGACGGCCUUCGGGUUGUAAACUCCUUUCGACCGCGAGGAAGCCACCUGGUUGGAAGGGUGGUGACGGUAGUGGUAGAAGAAGCACCGGCUAACUACGUG